AUUGAACGCUGGCGGCAUGCCUUACACAUGCAAGUCGAACGGCAGCACGGGGCAACCUGGUGGCGAGUGGCGAACGGGUGAGUAAUGCAUCGGAACGUGCCAUUGAGUGGGGGAUAACGUAGCGAAAGUUGCGCUAAUACCGCAUAUUCUGUGAGCAGGAAAGCAGGGGACCGCAAGGCCUUGCGCUCUUUGAGCGGCCGAUGUCAGAUUAGCUAGUUGGUGAGGUAACGGCUUACCAAGGCGACGAUCUGUAGCGGGUCUGAGAGGAUGAUCCGCCACACUGGAACUGAGACACGGUCCAGACUCCUACGGGAGGCAGCAGUGGGGAAUUUUGGACAAUGGGCGCAAGCCUGAUCCAGCCAUUCCGCGUGCAGGAUGAAGGCCUCGGUUGUAACUGCUUUGUACGGUAACGAAAGGUACC
rnacentral:rRNA from 1 species